CCUACGGGAGGCAGCAGUGAGGAAUAUUGGUCAAUGGGCGCAAGCCUGAACCAGCCAAGUCGCGUGAGGGAUGACGGUCCUAUGGAUUGUAAACCUCUUUUGUCGGGGAGCAAGGCCCGCCACGUGUGGCGGGAAGGAGAGUACCCGAAGAAAAAGCAUCGGCUAACUCCGUGCCAGCAGCCGCGGUAAUACGGAGGAUGCGAGCGUGAUCCGGAUUUAUUGGGUUUAAAGGGUGCGUAGGCGGAAGGUUAAGUCAGCGGUCAAAUGUCGGUGCGCAACACCGGCCUGCCGUUGAAACUGGUCGUCUUGAGUGAGCGAGAAGUAUGCGGAAUGCGUGGUGUAGCGGUGAAAUGCAUAGAUAUCACGCAGAACUCAGAUUGCGAAGGCAGCAUACCGGCGCUCAACUGACGCUGAGGCACGAAAGCGUGGGGAUCGAACAGGAUUAGAUACCCCAGUAGUC
rnacentral:rRNA from 1 species